GGAUUAAAUCCGUGGCAGAGCGCCCUGGACCGGGUGGGGGGGUUCUGGCAGGAAGGUCAGUCACCAUUUGUGUUUGUGGGGCAAGUGCAAAUGGUGGUUGUGUUCCAGCAUUGUUCUUUGUCUUUAUUUUUAGGAGGUCAAGCCAGAUCUCAGCUGUCAAGGUGAAGUGAGCGAGGUGGUCCACCGGCAAGAUGUCCUGGUCUGGGAUGCUGGCAGCCAGGAUGUUUUUUGCUUUGUUUCUUUGCAGGUGCUGCUGCUG